rnacentral:rRNA from 1 species
GAUGAACGCUGGCGGCGUGCCUAAUACAUGCAAGUCGAGCGAACGGACGAGAAGCUUGCUUCUCUGAUGUUAGCGGCGGACGGGUGAGUAACACGUGGAUAACCUACCUAUAAGACUGGGAUAACUUCGGGAAACCGGAGCUAAUACCGGAUAAUAUUUUGAACCGCAUGGUUCAAAAGUGAAAGACGGUCUUUCUGUCACUUAUAGAUGGAUCCGCUCUGCAUUAGCUAGUUGGUAAGGUAACGGCUUACCAAGGCAACGAUGCAUAUCCGACCUGAGAGGGUGAGCGGCGACACGGGAACUGAGACACGGUCAAGAAGCCUACGGGAGGCAGCAGUAGGGAAUAUUCCGAAAUGGGCGAAAGAAUGACGGAGCAACGCCGCGUGAGUGAUGAAGGUCUUCGGAUCGUAAAACUCUGUUAUUAGGGAAGAAAAUAUGUGUAAGUAACUGUGCACAUAUUGACGGUACCUAAUCAGAAAGCCACGGCUAACUACGUG